rnacentral:antisense_RNA from 1 species
CUGAAAUGGGAAAGGCAGCGCCCCCGACUCUGGGGACUGGACCGAACUCCACGGUAGUGACAGCUGCCAGACCCUGAGGAGAGGACGAGAAGACCUGAGCCCUCUGCUACAAACACUGGCAGCCGAUGGAAAAUUCAGACGGAAUUGGGACAGUAUGCAGGGUUCUCCAAGCGACAGAUUAACAGAGGCUCUUGAAGAAGAACUCUGUGUAAUCACGUGUUCUGCUCAAAAGAAGGCCUGAAUGCCCAGUGCCUUAUUUGGCUUUCAGGGGUCUUGCCGUGUCACCCAGGCUGGAGUACAGUGGUGCAAUCAUAGCUCACUGCUGCCUCAAACUCCUAGACUCAAGCAAUCCUCCUGCCUCAGCCUCCCGAGUAGCUGGGACUACAGGUAGAUGAUGGGCUCCACAGGAACAGAGCAAACAUUCGCUGCUGCGUCCUACAUGGUGUUUCCUCUAAACCUGAGGCGCAGCAGACUUGUCAUCACUUAAAACCCAGUUCAGAGUGCAGGGCACUGCCAGUGAAUAGUUCAUCACCGACUCAGUUUCCCCAUGUGUAUGCUGUGGUAUUGGACCAGCAACGAGAUAAGAAGAUUUCUCCCAUUUUUGAGCGUCUAUGAUGAUUCUGAGGCACAAGGUCACAUUUGACAGUACCAGGAAACCCAGGAAACAACAAGGAAACAUGACAUAGGAUGUGUCUGCUUAGGCAGACGAUCUAUUUGGACAAGAUAAUAGACCCAGGCAUGGACGUGCUCUCCAAGAAAGAUGCCCUAACAGCUGCUCAGACUGAAGCUGAAUCAAACAUUCCAAUCCUUAGAGGUUCCAGAUAAGAUCUUGAAGGCUCCCUGAGCCACUGACAUAAUGGCCAUGCCAUGCCAAUGAUCAAACACAAAUUGUGGCCUUGUUUUGGACAGAAAUAAAGAGCCCAGUUUGUCAGUGA